rnacentral:rRNA from 1 species
UACGAAGGGGGCUAGCGUUGCUCGGAAUCACUGGGCGUAAAGGGUGCGUAGGCGGGUCUUUAAGUCAGGGGUGAAAUCCUGGAGCUCAACUCCAGAACUGCCUUUGAUACUGAGGAUCUUGAGUUCGGGAGAGGUGAGUGGAACUGCGAGUGUAGAGGUGGAAAUUCGUAGAUAUUCGCAAGAACACCAGUGGCGAAGGCGGCUCACUGGCCCGAUACUGACGCUGAGGCACGAAAGCGUGGGGAGCAAACAGG